rfam:Mobiluncus mulieris ATCC 35239 genomic scaffold SCAFFOLD1, whole genome shotgun sequence.
CUUGAUUCCCCGUGCGGCGAUAUCGUCUGAACCUCCCCAGGGCCGGAAGGCAGCAAGGAUAAGGGCGCUCUUUCGGGUGUACGGGGAAUCCUCUAU